GGGCGAUUAACUCAGCGGCAGAGUGCGUCCCUUACAAGGACGAAGUCGGGGGUUCGAAUCCCUCAUCGCCCA
rnacentral:tRNA from 1 species